rnacentral:rRNA from 1 species
UACGUAGGGUGCGAGCGUUGUCCGGAAUUAUUGGGCGUAAAGGGCUCGUAGGCGGUUUGUCGCGUCGGGAGUGAAAACUCGGGGCUUAACCCCGGGCCUGCAGUGGGUACGGGCAGACUAGAGUGCGGUAGGGGAGACUGGAAUUCCUGGUGUAGCGGUGAAAUGCGCAGAUAUCAGGAGGAACACCGGUGGCGAAGGCGGUUCUCUGGGCAUGAUCUGACGCUGAGGAGCGAAAGUGUGGGGAGCGAACAGG